rnacentral:lncRNA from 1 species
CUCAGCUCACUGCAACCUCCACCUCCCAGGUUCAAGUGAUUCUGCUGCCUCAGCCUCUUGGGUAGCUGGGACUACAGGGGCCCACCACCAUGCCCGGCUAAUUUUUUUAUUUUUAGUAGAGACAGGGUUUCUCCAUGUUGGCCAGGCUGAUCUCAAACUCCUGACCUCAGGUGAUCCACCUGUCUCGGCCUCCCAGAGUGCUGGGAUUACAAGCUUGGGCCACCACGCUCGGCCUGAAAUUGAUUUUUAUAUAGCUACUUCUCAAAACAUCCUUCAGCACAGAUGACUUCAUAUGCAAAAAUUUAUUCAGAUUUUCAACCCAGUCAUUGUUAUGCUAUUUUAACUGUUGAUGAGCAUAAAGAAAAAGCAAGUUUUUUAGUUCUUGUUAUGACUAAAAUGGUGCUAAGCCCCCCUUCAGUAGCUAUGUAUCAAAAUCUCUAAAAGAAGGACCUAAAAAGUUAUUACUCAAAUCGAAUGAUCAUUUAACAUGAAUAAAUCAAAGUAGAAAACAAUAAGUCAGUCUUGGAAUUUAACAUCCAUUUCUCAUUUUUAAAAAAAAGUAAGGAUAACAUUAACAUGUUAAAAAUAAUAGUCCUAAACCAAUAGCUAAUAACAUAAAUAUCAGAAGCUAGAACAAAGAUCCAUUACCACCACUUUUGUUCAUCGUUUUUCUUUGAGCACCAGUCAAUGAAGUCAAACCAGGGAAUAGAGUCAGAACCCCAAAAUAAGUAACUGAGGGAUUAUGUAAAUAUGUCCCCAUACCUAACUGUUAUAACAAAAUAAGGUCACAUUUCCUUUCAUACUCAAUUUAUGUCUUUGAGUCUUUCUCCCACCAACAACCACAAGCCCCUUCUACCAAUUUCACUUCCUCAAGUACUUUCCGGGACUCAGUCCCUGAUUAGUGCUUUCAGUUUGUUAAGUAUAUGUUGGCAGGAGCUUAACACCUGCUCUCCACUGCCAACUUCACCCCCAUUCCACAUUCUUUCCCAAUCCAGUAAGCCACUCCGCAUCCCCGGGCCCCUGGUGCUGCCUGCUAACAAGCUCCUCAAGGUCUGCCCACCAUGAACAUCAUAAUGUUAUGGUGCUGAGUCAUUUCAUUCAAUUGUCUCAAGCAUUUUCAUUGUAGAAAGAGAUCUUUGUUUUUAUUUUUUAAUAACUAAAAUUUACAUUGACUUUUUAAACUAAGAAUCUUUGCCUCCAAGAUAAAUUUUUUCUCUAUCUUGAGAACAACAGUAAACAACAUCAGGAAGUUUUAAAACUGCUUUCAGAUUAUCACGGUUCCAGAAAUAAUGUAUUUUGUAUUUCAGUCUUAAAGGAGCAUAUUCCCUUUGCAAGCCCUGGAGUUCAGUAAGCUGGAUUCUUAGCUAGUGUCUCCAUAAAGUGGACACGGAAAGGAAGAGAAUGUAGACACAUCAAAAGGACGCCUCGUCAGUUGAGAAACAAGGCAUUUUCAAGAAGCAGUAACAGAAGAUCAUGAGGAUGAACCAAUCCAGUAAAGACCCUUGUAUGUAGUUCUUAGUGGUUCAUUAGCGACCUUUAAGGAAGCAGUAUCAAUGGGAUAAUGAAUAAAGGGUAAAUAGGGGUUGCACUAUGAGUUACAUAAUUUGUUUUUCAAAAAUUGUUAAUAUAAUAAGUGUGUCAGUUAUUAAGUUCUCUUCUAUCUCCAAAUCCAAGCUUCUAAACUUUGCUUUGGGUUGCUAAAGCAGUCACUAGACAAGCCAUUUCUGCAUUGCUGGCUGAUGCCUUAAUAGGCUGUGCCAACAGGAGAGGCGGAAUUCAAGGAUGGAGUAGGAAGGAGGAACUUGUUCCUCUUUGUUUCCUGCAGACCCCACGGGUCUUUCCUGCUUGUUUCCUAAGCAUCCCCUGACCAUGGUAUUUUUUUCCCCUUUUUUACCCUGACAGUAGCAGUCCCUUCCCACAGCAACGACUGAAUCCAACUUUUGCAAAUCCAGCCUUACUGUGCUUUCCCUUCCCCCACGCAUGCCAACAAUGGGAGACAGAAUGUUUGUGGGUGUGGAUUCUAAAGGUAUUAGACCAAGGUGGAUUUAAUGCAACGCUGGAAUCAGCUGAAUUUAUUGAUAUACGUGCAUUCAUCAGAGAUUCUGGAUUAAAUGUUUUAGUUUGGAUAGCUGCAAGUGGCUCUAUUAGGUUACUUUUUAAUUUACUUAUUUACUUGUUUGUUGCUUAUUUUUCCCCACUGCUGCAUGUGGCCAGGGAUUUUUAUCUGUUUUAUUUGCUGCUACAUUUUGGCAUCAGAAUCACACCUGAUAUACAGUACGUAAUAAAUAUUUGUUAAAGGAAUAAGUAAAUGAACACUAUGCUGAAAGUAAAAUUAGGGGAAAUAUUUACUUGGUCUGUUCUAGAUUUCUAAAAGGCUUGCCAAAUAAUGUCAUGCCACAUUAACUAUAUGGCUGUAAUAAUUAUUGCUGGUGAUGAUCUUAAUAUAUAUGUGCCCUUUUAUUUUAGGAAGUACUUUGAUGUAUGUCAGGCUUAAAACCCAGAUGACGGGUUGAUGGGUGCAGCAAACCACCAUGGCACAUGUAUACUUAUGUAACAAACCUGCAUGUUCUGCACAUGUAUCCCAGAACUUAAAGUAAACGGAAUAAAAAAGAAAGUAAUUUGUUUCCUGCAUUC